rnacentral:rRNA from 1 species
AGCGAACGCUGGCGGCAGGCCUAACACAUGCAAGUCGAACGGACCCUUCGGGGUUAGUGGCGGACGGGUGAGUAACACGUGGGAACGUGCCUUUAGGUUCGGAAUAGCUCCUGGAAACGGGUGGUAAUGCCGAAUGUGCCCUUCGGGGGAAAGAUUUAUCGCCUUUAGAGCGGCCCGCGUCUGAUUAGCUAGUUGGUGAGGUAACGGCUCACCAAGGCGACGAUCAGUAGCUGGUCUGAGAGGAUGACCAGCCACACUGGGACUGAGACACGGCCCAGACUCCUACGGGAGGCAGCAGUGGGGAAUCUUGCGCAAUGGGCGAAAGCCUGACGCAGCCAUGCCGCGUGAAUGAUGAAGGUCUUAGGAUUGUAAAAUUCUUUUACCGGGGACGAUAAUGACGGUACCCGGAGAAGAAGCCCCGGCUAACUUCGUG